UAAAAAAUAUCUUUUUAAUGACUUAUACACCAGCAUGGAGACUCGUGAUGUAAACAGCCUCAUUUGUCUGCUCUGUGCUUUGGGAGGGACAGGGAUGCCAUCUCCCACCUUGGCUGAGAUAAAACCUGUCUUGUAAAUUAAUAAAUAAUUUCCUAACUAACAUGGCAAAAAAAGAAAAAAAAACCCAAACGAGACCUAGUUUCCAUCCAGGGACAGGAUGUUUCUGGACACCCCCGGUCGCUGCUCCUCCUAAGGGCCUGGCUGUGGCUACUGAAGGGAGGAUGUAGUGAGAAUGGCUUCCCUUCUGCUGUUUGCUGCUGUCUGCACCGGCCAAGAACCUGCUCCCGUCUGCCCGGGCUGAUGGAGUCUCACUCUUGAGAAAAAUCUUGCUGGGGCAGGUCCUCUGGCAGCCCCAGCACCUUACCCUGAGUCAUGGGAACUUGAAACUUUGUCCAAACCUUGGCUGGAAGGCUGGUCUUGGCACUCAACUCUUAGCUAGUGGAUUUAUCACAUUAAGACUGUACCUGGGCCUUUUUCAUGAUGACUUGGGUCCCAAUCCUCGGAGCAGCUGAAAAAACAGCUAGCGCCAUCUGUGGAUGCACCCACAAUGAAAUCAGAGGCCACGUGAGGUUUGCAAGGUGGAGUGGCCUGUAGUUUUAACUCGGGCACUAUGGCAAUGCUGACCCAAACCAACUGUACCAGUUCUUGCUGGGUGGCAAAGUGUUGUCAGGCUUUGUGGUCACUCCUGAUUUCUGUUUGGAAGCACAGUUCUCUUUCUAAUGAGAAUGGAAAAUUAGAAAGUCCUGUAAAAUCGGAAAGCCUGUAAAAGGCUGUAGAGUGGAGAUAUAUAAAAUGUACGCUCACCCAUGUUUCAGGGGUCGACACCAUGGAAUUUUAUCUCGCUCACCAAAUUCCUCACACAUACAGCUCACUUCCUGUGGCCUCAGCCAUCUCAGGCACCACAAAAUCCUCACUGCUUGAAAUUCACCUAUGGAGUCCAACAAACAACUUUCUUAAAAAAAAAAAGGCAGUAAAAUCUCAGAAGUUCUGUGCAAUGCUUGCAACCUGCCCACUUAUUAAAUAAACAGAACACCAAACUAACCAAAAGCUAUGCAAGUGGCAGGCUGCCCUGAGCAGAGCCCUGCCCGUCUGACAGGGACUACGGUGGCACGGGAGCAGGGCGUGAUCAUGCUGGAAGAAAUGAGAGGUGGUCUCAUUCCCUGACUUUCAAACUCUCAUCUCAGGAGCCCCCAGUCCUAACACUGUAUUCAGCAGCUGGAGUUACCUGGCCAUGUAAAAGGACAAGGGAAGGCAGACCAUCCUCAACUUCUUCCUGUGUUUCUAGCAGGGAAGGAAGGCAAUGGCUUCAGUUCCUCUGCCUCUAAGUAACAAGGCAAAGGCCUCCCUAACGGAGGCAGACAGGAUGUGGGGAAGGUCUUGUGUCUUUUCCUAACUCAGAAUUUCUGAGUCAGUGGCUCCCAGAGAAAGACUGUCCUCUUAGCACGUGACCCUGAAGACUUCUAGCACCAAAGGCUCGCUAACACCUCCGACCCUGUCUUCAGGUAAAGGGGAUGGGAGGCAGAACCCUUCUCCUGACUGGUGCCUGAAGGAGGCAAGAACGAGCAUCUGCUAUGCCCCAGCCCGAUUUCCCCCGUCUCAGCAGGAGAGGGGAGAGGUGAGGGUGCAGAUGUUCUGGGCAGGUCAGUGCAGUUUGAUGAAUGCCUCCAGAUCUUCCGGGAUGAAGCCCUUGUAAGGGAUCUUGUUCUUAUCCAGGGCCCGGGCCGCAAGGUACUGCAGGGUCACGUAGUUGAAGGGCUGCAUGGUACCCCUGGCCAGCAGCUUCUCUUCCAGCAGCUCCUCUUCCAGCAGCUCGUAGGCCGUCUUCUUGAAGGCGUUAGUGGCAUCCGUGUGGGCCCCUGCUUCAAUCAGGGCAUUCACGAUGGCCGGGCAGUUGUUCUGGGCUGCUAUGUGUAGCGGGGUGUUGUUGUCAAAAUCCCUGCUGUCCCGGUUCGCCCCGCAGUCGAACAGCACUUUGACCACGUGCAAGGAGGGGAAUCUGCCCACGGGGUAGCGGCCCACGUUUGUGUUGUCCUUGUCCACAGCCAUGUGCCGAGGGGUGAAGCCGUUCUUGCCCCUGGGUGCGCACUUGAGCAGGCGGUAGAUGGUCUGGUGCUUCAGGUGCUCCUGGCUGGGGGUGCACUCCACUUUCUCCAGCAGGUAGAGCAGGUGGAGGAUGAUGGCCAGCGCCUUGUUGAACUGGGCCGAGUCUCUGGGCUCCCUGAGCAGCUGCAGGGCCCAUUCCACUUCCCGCACCCCUUUGGUGAGGACCCCCAUGAGGUCUGCAAAGCCGAUCUGGGUGCCCAGGCUGCCUUUGGCAGCCCGGUCCUGCAGCACAUAGGAGAAGAGUUCGGCGAAGGAGAGGAAGCUGCUGGCGGUCAUGGGGCUCAGAGGCUCCAGGUUGCUCUGUUCCAUGUCCAGGGCGUACUUCCACAAGCGGAUGUAGCACUCGAUAUUGCCCGAGUCGGCGUACACGGCGCCCCUGUAACGGAUAUAAUAGGAAGUGUUGGGGUGCGAGGGACUGAGGAUGCGCUCCCGGAUCAACAGGGCCUGCAUACGCAUCUCAUCGGGGUCGGUGAUCAGCGCCUCCAGCUCCUCGGUGGUGUUGACCUCCCUGGAAUAGUCAUAGGCCAGGACCAGCUGUGGGGGCUCCGGUUUGGGCAGGUACUCGCCCCGCUGGUGACGCAGCUCCAUGGCCCGCCUCCAGUGUUUAAGGGCCCCAAGCAGAUCUCCUUUCUUAUCCACAUACAUAGAUCCCAGCAAUUCCAAGGCUUCCACGGCAGCUUCCCGGCUGGUGGGACAGCAGCUUUGGUAAGAUUCCCCGUUCAGUGGUUCCUCAGGGGAGAAGCUGCAGCACGGAGCCCCCUGAGGCUGCGCACACCCCUGGCUGGUGGAGGAGCCUUCUUGGGGCAGCCCAGGCUGAGCCUCUCCCCCUGUGACCUGCUCCUGGCCGGGCUGCUCCUGGAUGAGGUACUCCACGAUGUUGGUGUGGCCAGUCACGCUGGCCAGGAGCAAAGGGGUCAUGCGGUAGCCAUCACGUUCCAUGCGGGCCUUGCACCCCAGCAGCAGCUGCAGGAUCUCCAGGCUGCUGGACUCGGCACAGUCGUGCAGGGCCGUGUUGCCCUUGGCGCUGCGCCAGUUCACCUGGGCGCCCUGCUCCAGCAGGUAGCGGGCGAUCUCACGGUGGCCCUUGUAGCACGAGAUCAUGAGGCACGUGUGGCCGUGCCGGUUGGCCACCUCCAGGUUGGCCUGGUGCUCGCCGACCAGGUGGCCGUAGCGGGCGGCGAUGAGCAGCGGCGUCCCCCCGCCGGCACCUAGCCAGUCAGCUCGUCCCCUUCCUCCCGGCUCCGGCCGCUGAGCAGCUUCUGGAGCAGCUGCAGCUUGCAGUCAUGGGCGGCGUUGUACACGGCGGUGCGGAGGUCCAUGGUUCCGGCCUCCGCCAGGCCAUGAGCAGGCCGCAGAGGGAGGGGAGACAGAGGAUCAGAGCCCAGACGGGCGGGAGCCAACCUUCACCGUCUCCCUCGCAGCCAUCUU
rnacentral:antisense_RNA from 1 species